rnacentral:rRNA from 2 species
GGCGUGCCUAAUACAUGCAAGUCGAGCGAACAGAUGAGAAGCUUGCUUCUCUGAUGUUAGCGGCGGACGGGUGAGUAACACGUGGGUAACCUACCUAUAAGACUGGGAUAACUCCGGGAAACCGGGGCUAAUACCGGAUAAUAUUUUGAACCGCAUGGUUCAAUAGUGAAAGACGGUUUCGGCUGUCACUUAUAGAUGGACCCGCGCCGUAUUAGCUAGUUGGUAAGGUAACGGCUUACCAAGGCGACGAUACGUAGCCGACCUGAGAGGGUGAUCGGCCACACUGGAACUGAGACACGGUCCAGACUCCUACGGGAGGCAGCAGUAGGGAAUCUUCCCCAAUGGGCGAAAGCCGGACGGAGCAACGCCGCGUGAGUGAGGAAGGUCUUCGGAUCGUAAAACUCUG